UCGGCAGUAUGUCACAAAUUUACUGUGCACUGAUAUCUACAGUAAAAUGAGAUUAAAGGUUCUGGAAUUACUCAAACAAUUUGAAAAGUUGUCAUUCACGACAGAUGUUUGGUCCGAACCCAGCGCAAAUGUCUCAUUACUUAGCCUUACUGCUCAUGGCAUCACGAAUACAUAUAAAAGAGUUUCUAUAAUACUUAAGUGUGAACAAUUAGAGGGUCGCCAUACAGGUGAAAUUAUAGCGAAUAAUUUGAACAAUAUUUUGAAAGACUGGAACUUAAGCGCGGAAUCAGUUCAUUGUAUUUUACGCGACAGAGGUUCUAAUAUAAUAAAAGCUAUGAGUAUGGCUUAUUUCACUGAUGCGAACUGUACUAUUCAUCAACUACAAUUGUGUGUUCGAUUGGCGAUGGAAACCGAAGAAUUUCUCUCGCCAGUGAUAACAAAGUGCAAAAAAUUGCGACUCAUUUCAGUCAUUCCCUAAUUGCACAAAAUGAAUUGAAACAAAUUCAAAUUGAAAGACUGAACCAAUCAGGACUAAGUAUACUACAGGAAUGUUCCACCCGUUGGAAUUCGACGUAUUAUAUGAUGCCAAGAAUAUUGAAAUUAAAAGACUCAUUAGUGCUGUAUUCAGGAACGCAUGCUAUACCAAUUCUUACUGCUGAUGAAUGGAUCGACUUGAAAAAGUGUAUUACUGUACUAAUGCCAUUCGAAGAAAUUACAAAGGAGUUAAGUAGUGCUACUGCAACAAUAGCUUCGGUGAUUCCAUUAAUCUAUACUCUUAAAAAUACAUUAAAAACAGAGAAGUAUAAAGAAGACACUUCUGACAACUUUAAAUUAAUGAUUACAAAAAUGAUCCAGGACCUCAAUAUCAGAUUGAAAUUGAAAAUAAUAAUAUAUAUACAAUAGCUACUUAUCUAGAUCCACGGUACAAGCUCAAAUUUUUUACUGAAAUUACGAAGGAACAGGUGCGGUCAAAGAUUUUGGAAAUCUUUGGGUGUUCAAAAACUUCACUUGAUGAAGGUCCUUCUUCACCUAAAAGAUGACGUAAUGAGCUAGCAACAACAAGCUCAAGCAACCAAUCACGCAUUCAAUCUUGUCUAGCUGAAAUAUUAAGCAUAAGUGACGAGGAAGAGCAAAA